ensembl:lncRNA novel transcript
GCCCAGCUCAGUUCCUCAUUUUAUAAGUAAUGUUUAAGAGCAAUGACCCACUCCUACUUUCAGCAAAGAGGUGCACAUAGCAUAGACCCAUAGAAGAGGAAGGAUCUGAGAAGGAGUUUGAAAAAAGUGUAGGAGAGGCUGCGAGAAAACAAGGCAGGUGUCCUGGCUGAGGGCAGGAAGGAGACAUUGCGAUGGAAAUUGUGCCCCAUUUUCUUGGAGGAUUGGGAAGAGGACCUGUGGACUGGGCGGCCCACACAACUGCUGUAACCUCAGGCAGUUUUCAAGCAGAUUGACCUUCCUGCUGGAACACGGCACAUGAGGGUUGCUUGGCCUUGCCUCCACCAUGCCUGACACUGGCGCUCUGCUGGGAGGAAAAAGCUUGCUCUGUUGCUGGCUGUGUGGAACAGAGAGGGAAGUGGCAGACAGUCUGGGCCCAGCACUUGGGUAUCGUGCUCUAGCCAUGCGACUCAUCUCUCCAGUUCAGACCUGCCCCUGGAAAAAAGAGCCCAGACCUCAUCAUGAAUGCUUUCCUAGGAGAAAAUGAACAGCUGGACAAUGCUCCUGGUCAGUAGGCCUGAAGGAUGCUGGGAUGCAGCCCUCAAGAUGGAACAGCCAGGAUGCCAAGUAUCCCUCUUGCCCAGAUCCUAAGGCACUUUUUCUACUGAUCCAUAUUGGCCUCAGGAGAUGUCUCAACACAGCACCCCAGCCAAUGGAGCUGCCACAUAAGAUGAACUCUUGAUCAUCUCUAAACUAGAGAGUUAAACUCAACACUAGCAAACGACUUUGGGUUUAUGCAUAUGUCAUGUUUUCUCUGGCAACUGCACAGAAUCAUCUCUAAAUAUCACAUCUAUGGUUGGCAGGAGUGGCAUGUAUAAUACAAAAUGUCUGGUGGCCCUACUGUCACAAAACCUGUAUAAAAGUAAAUUCACAAAUGGCUUUUUAGAACUGAUGACAAAAAGUUACUCGUUAUCACUUUUCUAAUUAAUUUCCUAAAAGGGCAAUUUGAAAUCAUACUGGGAUUCUCACAAUUUUGGUUGACAGUCAAGUAAAUUGCAGCUACUUAUCAAGCACUUUUGAAUGAAUACAUGAAGAAUGAAUAAAAUGAAAGCUCUCCUGUUG